UGGGGAAUAUUGCACAAUGGGCGCAAGCCUGAUGCAGCCAUGCCGCGUGUGUGAAGAAGGCCUUCGGGUUGUAAAGCACUUUCAGCGAGGAGGAAGGUGGUGAGCUUAAUACGCUCAUCAAUUGACGUUACUCGCAGAAGAAGCACCGGCUAACUCCGUGCCAGCAGCCGCGGUAAUACGGAGGGUGCAAGCGUUAAUCGGAAUUACUGGGCGUAAAGCGCACGCAGGCGGUUUGUUAAGUCAGAUGUGAAAUCCCCGGGCUCAACCUGGGAACUGCAUUUGAAACUGGCAAGCUAGAGUCUCGUAGAGGGGGGUAGAAUUCCAGGUGUAGCGGUGAAAUGCGUAGAGAUCUGGAGGAAUACCGGUGGCGAAGGCGGCCCCCUGGACGAAGACUGACGCUCAGGUGCGAAAGGCGUGGGGCAGCAAACAGGAUUAGAUACCCUGGUAGUCCACGCUGUAAACGAUGUCGAUUUUGGAGGUUGUGCCCUUGAGGCGUGGCUUCCGGAGCUAACGCGUUAAAUCGACCGCC
rnacentral:rRNA from 1 species